UACGUAGGUGGCAAGCGUUAUCCGGAAUUAUUGGGCGUAAAGCGCACGUAGGCGGUAUUGCAAGUCGGAUGUGAAAUCCCUCGGCUUAACCAAGGAAGUGCAUCCGAAACUGCUGUACUUGAGUACGAAAGAGGAUCGCGGAAUUCCCGGUGUAGAGGUGAAAUUCGUAGAUAUCGGGAGGAACACCAGUGGCGAAGGCGGCGAUCUGGGUCGAUACUGACGCUGAGGUGCGAAAGCGUGGGGAGCAAACAGG
rnacentral:rRNA from 1 species